CCUACGGGUGGCAGCAGUGGGGAAUAUUGCGCAAUGGGCGAAAGCCUGACGCAGCGACGCCGCGUGAGGGAUGAAGGCCUUCGGGUCGUAAACCUCUGUCAGGAGGGAAGAAACCUGGUUGGGCGAACAGGCCAAUCAGCUGACGGUACCUCCGGAGGAAGCACCGGCUAAUUCCGUGCCAGCAGCCGCGGUAAUACGGAAGGUGCAAGCGUUAAUCGGAAUCACUGGGCGUAAAGCGCACGUAGGCCGUCUCGUAAGUCGGGCGUGAAAGCCCUCGGCUCAACCGGGGAAUUGCGCUCGAUACUGCGAGACUUGAGUCCUGGAGAGGGUGGCGGAAUUCCCGGUGUAGGAGUGAAAUCCGUAGAUAUCGGGAGGAACACCAGUGGCGAAGGCGGCCACCUGGACAGGUACUGACGCUGAGGUGCGAAAGCGUGGGGAUCAAACAGGAUUAGAUACCCUAGUAGUC
rnacentral:rRNA from 1 species